GGUACACGUUAGUCAAAAGGCUGAAAACCGCUGCUUUAGAGUGUUCUCAUCGAAAGUAUCCUUCCACUAAGGAGAUAUCAAAAUGGGAAAACUUGAGCUGCUAAAGAAGGAAAUCCUCCAUGUCAAAAUGCGAUUUAUCAGGAAGAGGAAUUUUUAUGGGCAAAAUGAUCGAAAUGACUUCAAAUAGAUUACCUGCCUAUGAAAAGAACUAUUUUAUCUGAAUCAGAAGGAUGUUGAUCAAAACAGGUGUCUUCUUUUCAUCCUAGUCCAAGACGCAAUGCAGUUGCGGCUUUCCGUCUGUCUACAGGACAUGAUUGCCUUGCCACCCACCUGCACAGCCGCAUUUCAAGCGAUCCUAUUGCUCACUUUUGUGAUCCUGGAGAAGAAACGGACAGGGACACCUACUGCGAUGUGAGGCUCUUCGUGAUCUUAUAAAAAAGUCGAGGUACUGGGAGGCAAGAAACGCUCUUUAG